GACAGCAGAAAUAGCUCCGGAGUCGAUCACGUUCAGUGCAGAUGUACCCUUACAUCUCACCUGUAUGCCAUACCAGUGUCUCCACACUCAUUGGUUAAGAGGACAACCAACCUAUAUGGCACACAAAGAUCUAUGCUUGAUAAACGUUAUCGUCCUUGAUAACAAUAUAUCAUUUGAUCGCGAACAGAUUUAAGGACUAAACAACAAAUCCUCCUUUGUCGAGUCUAAAUAGUCCUAAGGACUUCACCACAACAUAGGAGUUCAUUAGAAGAUGA
rnacentral:lncRNA from 1 species